UGGCUCAGGACGAACGGCUGGCGGCGUGCCUAAUACAUGCAAGUCGAACGGCUUUUCUAUGGAAGCUUGCUUCCACUGAGAAGAUAGUGGCGAGCGGGUGAGUAACACGUGGGUAACCUGCCCAUAAGAGGGGGGAUAACAUCCGGAAACGGGUGCUAAUACCGCAUAGUUUUCUUGAUCGCAUGAUCGGGAAAGGAAAGACGGCCUUUGUGCUGUCGCUUAUGGAUGGACCCGCGGCGUAUUAGUUAGUUGGUGAGGUAACGGCUCACCAAGACGAUGAUACGUAGCCGACCUGAGAGGGUGAUCGGCCACAUUGGGACUGAGACACGGCCCAAACUCCUACGGGAGGCAGCAGUAGGGAAUCUUCCGCAAUGGACGAAAGUCUGACGGAGCAACGCCGCGUGAGUGAAGAAGGUUUUCGGAUCGUAAAACUCUGUUGUCAGGGAAGAACAAGUUGGAGAGUAACUGCUCCAGCCUUGACGGUAUCUGACCAGAAAGCCACGGCUAACUACGUGCCAGCCGCCGC
rnacentral:rRNA from 1 species